rnacentral:rRNA from 1 species
GAUGAACGCUGGCGGCGUGCCUAAUACAUGCAAGUCGAGCGAACGGACGAGAAGCUUGCUUCUCUGAUGUUAGCGGCGGACGGGUGAGUAACACGUGGAUAACCUACCUAUAAGACUGGGAUAACUUCGGGAAACCGGAGCUAAUACCGGAUAAUAUUUUGAACCGCAUGGUUCAAAAGUGAAAGACGGUCUUGCUGUCACUUAUAGAUGGAUCCGCGCUGCAUUAGCUAGUUGGUAAGGUAACGGCUUACCAAGGCAACGAUGCAUAGCCGACCUGAGAGGGUGAUCGGACAAACUGGAAAGGAGACACGGUCAAGAGUCCUACGGGAGGCAGCAGUAGGGAAUAUUCCGCAAUGGGCGAAAGCAUGACGGAGCAAAGCCGCGUGAGUGAUGAAGGUCUUCGGAUCGUAAAACUCUGUUAUUAGGGAAGAACAUAUGUGUAAGUAACUGUGCACAUCUUGACGGUACCUAAUCAGAAAGCAACGGCUAACUACGUG